rnacentral:rRNA from 1 species
GACGAACGCUGGCGGCGUGCUUAACACAUGCAAGUCGAACGGAAAGGCCCUGCUUGCAGGGUACUCGAGUGGCGAACGGGUGAGUAACACGUGGGUGAUCUGCCCUGCACUUCGGGAUAAGCUUGGGAAACUGGGUCUAAUACCGGAUAGGAGCCAUCUUUAGUGUGGUGGUUGGAAAGUUUUUUCGGUGUAGGAUGAGCUCGCGGCCUAUCAGCUUGUUGGUGGGGUAAUGGCCUACCAAGGCGGCGACGGGUAGCCGGCCUGAGAGGGUGUACGGCCACAUUGGGACUGAGAUACGGGCCAGACUCCUACGGGAGGCAGCAGUGGGGAAUAUUGCACAAUGGGCGCAAGCCUGAGGCAGCGACGCCGCGUGGGGGAUGAAGGCCUUCGGGUUGUAAACUCCUUUCGCUAGGGACGAAGCUUUUUUGUGACGGUACCUAGAUAAGAAGCACCGGCUAACUACGUG